AGCGAACGCUGGCGGCAGGCUUAACACAUGCAAGUCGAGCGGGCACUUUCGGGUGUCAGCGGCGGACGGGUGCGUAACGCGUGGGAACGUGCCCUCUGGUUCGGAAUAACUCAGGGAAACUUGAGCUAAUACCGGAUACGCCCUUUUGGGGAAAGGCUUGCUGCCGGAGGAUCGGCCCGCGUCUGAUUAGCUAGUUGGUGAGGUGACGGCUCACCAAGGCGACGAUCAGUAGCUGGUCUGAGAGGAUGAUCAGCCACACUGGGACUGAGACACGGCCCAGACUCCUACGGGAGGCAGCAGUGGGGAAUAUUGGACAAUGGGCGCAAGCCUGAUCCAGCCAUGCCGCGUGAGUGAUGAAGGCCUUAGGGUUGUAAAGCUCUUUUAUCCGGGACGAUAAUGACGGUACCGGAGGAAUAAGCCCCGGCUAACUUCGUG
rnacentral:rRNA from 1 species